rnacentral:rRNA from 1 species
GUCCACGCCGUAAACGUUGGGCACUAGGUGUGGGACUCUAUCGACGGGUUCCGUGCCGUAGCUAACGCAUUAAGUGCCCCGCCUGGGGAGUACGGCCGCAAGGCUAAAACUCAAAGGAAUUGACGGGGCCCGCACAAGCGGCGGAGCAUGUGGCUUAAUUCGAUGCAACGCGAAGAACCUUACCUGGGUUGAACUAUGCCGGAAAAGCCGUAGAGAUACGGUGUCCUUCGGGGCCGGUGAUAGGUGGUGCAUGGCUGUCGU